rnacentral:lncRNA from 10 species
UCCUCCUUUAAAAGUAAAGGAAGAGAUUUUUCUUUCCUUUUGUCUCUUAGAACAUUCAAUUAGAAAAUUUGUAAAUUCAUUUUCUCUGUCUUCUGAGGUUUUUUUUUUUAGACAGAGUUUUUCUCUUGUUACCCAGGCUUGAGUGCAAGCCACGAUCUCGCCUCACCACAACCUCCGUCUCCCGAGUUCAAGCGAUUCUCCUGCCUCAGCUUCCCGAGUAGCUGGGAUUACAGGUAUGAACCACUAUGCCCGGCUAACUUUGUUUUUUUUUUUUAGAAAUUAAACCUUUUUUCAGCUUAAUGACCCAGGGGUGUAUUUUUGAAGGACUUGGGAGCUCUCUUUGAAAGGCAAACAACAAGGGAAACAGUACCUUUAUCUCAGUAGGAAAUUAAAUAAUUCAAACAUCAAAUAACUUCAAUUUAAGGCUAUGGACUUUGAGAUAAUUCUGAGCCUUGAGAGGAAUGUGGUCAGGCAACCUGAGUCCAGUGGAAUGCAGGUGCAACUUCUAAGAGUUUUCCUGUAAGUAAUUAAGAAGACUAAGUAGCCCCAGAGAUAAGACCUCCUCGGAUCAUUGUCCCUUCUUAUGUAGUGAUAAAGUAACCUUCCUUGAAGUGUAUCUAUCCGUAAUCAAUCAAGUUGCUGCAGCCUAUGCACUGGCCCAGAAUAAAAAACGUGGUGAUUCUGCUAAAGCUUCUCUGUCUUUCCCUGUGUGUGAAAUCUUAACGUCUCUACUUGGGAACGCUGAUCCCAUUCAUUUAGAGUUGAUGUUUCCACGUGGCUAUUUCCAAGCUUUGCCUUCAAAUAAAUUCUGUACUUAAUCAUAUAUUCUAAAUUUUAUUAUUUACUGCUGACAUCAGUUUCUGUCGGAUUGUAGGAGCCUCACCAGAGAGGGCCCCUGUCGCCAUGUUGUAAAACUCACACUUGCCAAAAGUUGUGGGUUAGGGUUUCUCCCCCUCCCUCAGGAUGACGCUAGUUAGCUGACACAGAUGGUCACCUCCAUUACCAAGUAGAGUCAGGAUGAACUAUGUGUGACUGUUCAACUAUGUGUCCUCUUCCCUGAGGACUGAUUAGUGUUUAUCUUGAAAACAUGUCCUUAAUGGGUUGUAUAGAACACUGAAGCAUCUGAUUUCAAACUCUUAGCUCUUUUCCUCUAUUUCCCAUCACAUUCUGGUCUAAGG